CGUCGGGCUCCCGGUGCAUGGAGCCUGCUUCUCCCUCUGCCUGUGUCUCNGUUUUUCCUAUUCAUGACUCAUUUUGCUCUUUGGCUAACACUCAGGCAAAUGUAGUGACAACUUAGUUUUCUUCUUCCUCUGAAAGCUUGUACACAUUUUCUGCCUCGGGUUGUGUCCACGAGGAUGCCUGGAGAAUGUUGACAAAGGAAAGGUUAGACUAGCCUGUUGAUGCUGCGUAUUUGGGCUUUAAAAAUCAAAAAGGUUCCUUGGCUUCCUCGGAGAAGCAUUCUGCUUGAUGGCCCAGAAUACUGAUCCAGUAAAAAAGACAUGUUCCAGCCAUCCUUCACACACACCUUAAGUGAAAUUAAUGAGAUCACUCUACAAUUACGCUUUGUGUUUUAUUUUCACUUUCCAGGUCUGUAUGAGCUGUUGGCUCUUGUGCCAGGCCAGCUAGGGCCACGUGUGGACAGCCAGGAAGACCUGACCUUCCUCUUGGAUAUGUUUGGUGAGAAAAGCCUGCAUUCACUGGUAAAGUCCUGA
rnacentral:lncRNA from 1 species